rnacentral:rRNA from 1 species
UACGUAGGGUGCGAGCGUUGUCCGGAAUUACUGGGCGUAAAGAGCUCGUAGGCGGUUUGUCGCGUUGUUCGUGAAAUUCCCUGGCUUAACUGGGGGCGUGCGGGCGAUACGGGCAGACUGGAGUACGGCAGGGGAGACUGGAAUUCCUGGUGUAGCGGUGGAAUGCGCAGAUAUCAGGAGGAACACCGGUGGCGAAGGCGGGUCUCUGGGCAGUAACUGACGCUGAGGAGCGAAAGCGUGGGGAGCGAACAGG